rnacentral:misc_RNA from 1 species
UCGUCCGGGGUGACGAGGAGACCGGCCAAACCAUCAUCUCCGGUAUGGGCGAGCUUCAUCUGGAGAUCCUCGUCGACCGGCUCCUCCGCGAGUUCAAGGUGGAUGCAUCGGUCGGCAAGCCUCAGGUCGCAUAUCGGGAGACCAUCCGCAAGGGCAUCGAGAAGAUCCAGUACAAGCAUGUCAAGCAGACCGGUGGAAAGGGCCAGUACGCCGACGUGGUGAUCAACCUCGAGCCCACCGGCCCGGGUGGCGGCUACGAGUUCAUCGAUCAGAUCAAGGGCGGCUCGGUACCACGUGAGUUCAUCCCGUCGGUGGACGCCGGAAUCGAAGAGGCGCUCGACCAGGGAAUCCUCG